rnacentral:lncRNA from 1 species
CGGGUAACUGAAGCCCAUCACCAGGGAGGGUACCAGCCCAAAUGUCGAGAACCGGAAUAGAAGAAGCAUUACUUUUUUUUAAAUUAAGAGGGAUGCACACACACACACGUGAAGAAUCCUGCUGGGGAGAAGUGGAAGAAAAUGGGUCUUCAUCCUCAUCCUCAGGCUCAGACAACAUUUGUGAAGACACCAGUGUGGCUGAGGAGGUGGAUGGCUCCUCAUCCUGAGGCUCCGAGAUCAUUUCUGAAGAGGCCUGUGUGGCAGAGGAGGUGGAUGGCUCCUCAUCCUGAGGCUCCGAGAUCAUUUCUGAAGAGGCCUGUGUGGCCGAGGAGGUGGAUGGCUCCUCAUCCUGGCCAGUGCCAGAGGGUGCUCCAAAAUAUUUCAGAAGUGCCCCUGAAUUUGCAGUGAAAUACAGUCUGACACCCUAAAUACAUUUGUUGCACAAUUAAAUGCACGUCAUUAUGCACAAUUUAUCAAACUUUCAGAAUAGGA